UACGUAGGGGGCUAGCGUUGUCCGGAAUUAUUGGGCGUAAAGCGCGCGCAGGCGGUCCUUUAAGUCUGAUGUGAAAGCCCACGGCUCAACCGUGGAGGGUCAUUGGAAACUGGGGGACUUGAGUGCAGAAGAGGAAAGCGGAAUUCCACGUGUAGCGGUGAAAUGCGUAGAGAUGUGGAGGAACACCAGUGGCGAAGGCGGCUUUCUGGUCUGUAACUGACGCUGAGGCGCGAAAGCGUGGGGAGCAAACAGG
rnacentral:rRNA from 1 species